rnacentral:rRNA from 1 species
UACGUAGGGUGCGAGCGUUAAUCGGAAUUACUGGGCGUAAAGCGUGCGCAGGCGGGCUUUUAAGCCAGACGUGAAAUCCCCGGGCUUAACCUGGGAAUGGCGUUUGGGACUGGGGAGUCUGGAGUACGGCAGAGGAGACUGGAAUUCCUGGUGUAGCAGUGAAAUGCGUAGAUAUCAGGAGGAACACCGAUGGCGAAGGCAGGUCUCUGGGCUGAUACUGACGCUGCAUGCACGAAAGACGUGGGGAGCAAACAA